rnacentral:rRNA from 1 species
CCUACGGGUGGCAGCAGUCGAGAAUCAUUCACAAUGGGGGAAACCCUGAUGGUGCGACGCCGCGUGGGGGAAUGAAGGUCUUCGGAUUGUAAACCCCUGUCAUGUGGGAGCAAAUUAAAAAGAUAGUACCACAAGAGGAAGAGACGGCUAACUCGGGGCCAGCCGCCGCGGUAAUACAGAGGUCGCAAGCGUUGUUCGGAAUCACUGGGCGUAAGGGGUGCGUAGGCGGUUUCGUAAGUCGGGUGUGAAAGGCGCGGGCUCAACCCGCGGACGGCACAUGAUACUGCGAGACUAGAGUAAAGGAGGGGGAACCGGAAGUCUCGGUGUAGCAGUGAAAUGCGUAGAUAUCGAGAGGAACACUCGUGGCGAAGGCGGGUUCCUGGACAUUAACUGACGCUGAGGCACGAAGGCCAGGGGAGCGAAAGGGAUUAGAUACCCCAGUAGUC